UACAGAGGGUGCGAGCGUUAAUCGGAAUUACUGGGCGUAAAGCGCACGUAGGUGGCUUUGCAAGUCGAUUGUGAAAUCCCCGGGCUUAACCUGGGAACUGCAGUCGAGACUGCUUUGCUUGAGUAUGGGAGAGGGAGGUGGAAUUUCCGGUGUAGCGGUGAAAUGCGUAGAUAUCGGAAGGAACAUCAGUGGCGAAGGCGACCUCCUGGACCAAUACUGACGCUGAGUGAGCGAAAGCCAGGGGAGCAAACGGG
rnacentral:rRNA from 1 species